UGCGGGGGUGCCCGAGCUGGUCAAAGGGGACAGGCUUAGGACCUGUUGACGCAGGUCUACCAGGGUUCGAAUCCCUGCUCCCGCAU
rnacentral:tRNA from 1 species